rnacentral:rRNA from 1 species
GACGAACGCUGGCGGCGUGCUUAACACAUGCAAGUCGAACGAGUGGCGCACGGGUGAGUAAUACAUCGGAACGUGUCCUAUCGUGGGGGAUAACUGAUCGAAAGAUCAGCUAAUACCGCAUACGAUUGGAGCGGCCGAUGCCCGAUUAGCUAGUUGGUGAGGUAAAGGCUCACCAAGGCGACGAUCGGUAGCUGGUCUGAGAGGACGACCAGCCACACUGGGACUGAGACACGGCCCAGACUCCUACGGGAGGCAGCAGUGGGGAAUUUUGGACAAUGGGGGCAACCCUGAUCCAGCCAUGCCGCGUGCAGGAUGAAGGUCUUCGGAUUGUAAACUGCUUUUGUCAGGGAAGCGGUACCUGAAGAAUAAGCAACGGCUAACUACGUGCCAGCAGCCGCGGUAAUUC